GCUCCCGUAGUUUAAUGGACAGAACAAGGCUUUGCGGAAGCCUAGAUGCAGGUUCGAUUCCUGCCGGGAGCA
rnacentral:tRNA from 1 species